GACGAACGCUGGCGGCGUGCUUAACACAUGCAAGUCGAACGGAAAGGCCCUGCUUUUGUGGGGUUCUCGAGUGGCGAACGGGUGAGUAACACGUGAGUAACCUGCCCUUGACUUUGGGAUAACUUCAGGAAACUGGGGCUAAUACCGGAUAGGAUCUCCUGCUGCAUGGUGGGGGUUGGAAAGUUUCGGCGGUUGGGGAUGGACUCGCGGCUUAUCAGCUUGUUGGUGGGGUAGUGGCUUACCAAGGCUUUGACGGGUAGCCGGCCUGAGAGGGUGACCGGCCACAUUGGGACUGAGAUACGGACCAGACUCCUACGGGAGGCAGUAGUGGGGAAUAUUGCACAAUGGGCGGAAGCCUGAUGAAGAAACGUCGCGUGCGGGAAGACGGCCUUCGGGUUGUAAACAGCUUUAGCCUGUGACGAAGCGUGAGUGACGGUAAUGGGUAAAGAAGCACCGGCUAACUACGUG
rnacentral:rRNA from 1 species